rnacentral:tRNA from 1 species
UAGCUCAGUGAGAGAGCGCUCCCUUAGCAUCGGAGAGGACUGGGGUUCAAUUCCCCA